rnacentral:rRNA from 1 species
CCCUUAGAUGUCCUGGGCCGCACGCGCGCUACACUGAGUGUCUGAGAUACGAGUCUGCCUGGUCCGGCAAGGUCUAGGUAAUCGCUAAAAGACACAUCAUGCUUGGGAUAGAUUAUUGCAAAUAUUAAUCUUGAACGAGGAAUUCCUAGUAAGCGCAAGUCAACAGCUUGCGUUGAUUACGUCCCUGCCCUUUGUACACACCGCCCGUCGCUCCUACCGAUUGAAUGGUCCGGUGAAGCGUUUGGACUAUGGUUUUCUGAUGGUCCGCCGUUGGAUUACCGUGGGAAGUUCGUUAAACCUUAUCAUUUAGAGGAAGGAGAAGUCGUAACA